UACAGAGGGGGCAAGCGUUGUUCGGAAUUACUGGGCGUAAAGGGCGCGUAGGCGGCCGCCUAAGUCAGACGUGAAAUCCCUCGGCUCAACCGGGGAACUGCGUCUGAUACUGGAUGGCUUGAGUUCGGGAGAGGGAUGCGGAAUUCCAGGUGUAGCGGUGAAAUGCGUAGAUAUCUGGAGGAACACCGGUGGCGAAGGCGGCAUCCUGGACCGACACUGACGCUGAGGAGCGAAAGCCAGGGGAGCAAACGGGG
rnacentral:rRNA from 1 species